GGAAGGAUCAUUAUUGAACCAUCUUAGUAAAGUUGUUGCUGGCUCUCUUUCUAGAGCAUUAUUAUAUGUGCACACUUUGCUAUUUAUGUAUUUCUAAUUACCUGUGCACCAUUUGUAGGACAGAUAAGUAAAUUACCUUCGAGUUUUGACUCGGUUUGUGGGUUUGCUGUUGCAAUGCUUACCCUUCUACAUCUGUUCUAUGUUAUUUACAAUGACUCUAAAUAAAGUGUAUAUUAGAGCGAGCAUUUGCUUCAAUAUGAUACAACUUUCAACAACGGAUCUCUUGGCUCUCGCAUCGAUGAAGAACGCAGCGAAAUGCGAUAAGUAAUGUGAAUUGCAGAAUUCAGUGAAUCAUCGAAUUUUUGAACGCACCUUGCACUCCUUGGUAUUCCGAGGAGUAUGCCUGUUUGAGUGUCAUAAUAAUUCAUGUCAACCAUUUCUGUUUCUACAGAAAUUGGCUUGGAGUUUGGGAGUUGCGAGCCUUAUAAACAAAGGUUGGCUCUCCUUAAAUGUAUUAGUAGAAAGGACCUUGCUGUCUCUUUUUAAGUGUGAUAAAUUAUCUACACUAUAUAAAAAAGCAGCUUUUAUAAAUUGGUUUCUGCUAAUAAUCGUCCAUUGUGACAACUAUUGAAACCCUUGACCUCAAAUCAGGUAGGACUACCCGCUGAACUUAAGCAUAUCAAUAAGCGGAGGAAAAGAAACUAACAAGGAUUCCCUUAGUAACUGCGAGUGAAGUGGGAAAAGCUCAAAUUUAAAAUCUGGUAGUCAUUUGGCUAUUUGAAUUGUAAUCUAGAGAAGUGUUAUCCGCACUGGACCGUGUAUAAGUCUCCUGGAAUGGAGCGUCAUAGAGGGUGAGAAUCCCGUCUUUGAUACGGAUUAUCAGGGCUAUGUGAUGCGCUCUCAAAGAGUCGAGUUGUUUGGGAAUGCAGCUCUAAAUGGGUGGUAAAUUUCAUCUAAAGCUAAAUAUUGGCGAGAGACCGAUAGUGAACAAGUACCGUGAGGGAAAGAUGAAAAGAACUUUGGAAAGAGAGUUAAACAGUACGUGAAAUUGUUGAAAGGGAAACGCUUGAAGUCAGUUAUGUUGUCUAGGGAUCAACCUUGUCUUAUGCUUGGUGUAUUCUUUAGUUCAACGGGUCAGCAUCAAUUUCAGCCAAUGGAAAAAGGCAAAGGGAAUGUGACAUCCUUGGAUGUGUUAUAACCCUUGGUUGUAUACAUUGGUUGGGAUUGAGGAAUUCAGCACGCCGCAAAGGUUUUGUGCUUAGGAUGCUGGCAUAAUGGCUUCAAUCGACCCGUCUUGAAACACGGACCAAGGAGUCUAACAUACCUGCAAGUGUUUGGGUGGAAAACCCAUGUGCGUAAUGAAAGUGAAAGUUAAGAUCCCUUGUUAAUGGGGGAGCAUUGACACCUGGACCUGACCUUUUGUGAAGGAUCCACGGUAGAGCAUGUAUGUUGGGACCCGAAAGAUGGUGAACUAUGCCUGAAUAGGGUGAAGCCAGAGGAAACUCUGGUGGAGGCUCGUAGCGAUUCUGACGUGCAAAUCGAUCGUCGAAUUUGGGUAUAGGGGCGAAAGACUAAUCGAACCAUCUAGUAGCUGGUUCCUGC
rnacentral:misc_RNA from 1 species